rnacentral:rRNA from 1 species
CCUACGUGUGGCAGCAGUGGGGAAUAUUGGGCAAUGGGCGCAAGCCUGACCCAGCAAUGCCGCGUGAAGGAAGAAGGCUUUCGGGUUGUAAACUUCUUUGACAGGGGAAGAGCAGAAGACGGUACCCUGAAAACAAGCCACGGCUAACUACGUGCCAGCAGCCGCGGUAAUACGGAGGAUGCGAGCGUUAUCCGGAGUUAUUGGGUUUAAAGGGUGCGUAGGCGGAAUGCCAAGUCAGCGGUAAAAUCGCGGGGCUCAACCUCGCUCCGCCGUUGAAACUGGCGUUCUUGAGUGGGCGAGAAGUAUGCGGAAUGCGUGGUGUAGCGGUGAAAGGCAUAGAUAUCACGCAGAACUCCGAUUGCGAAGGCAGCAUACCGGCGCCCAACUGACGCUGAAGCACGAAAGCGUGGGUAUCGAACAGGAUUAGAUACCCUGGUAGUC